GCUUAGGAAUCUACCGAGUAGUGGGGGAUAGCCAUUGGAAACGAUGAUUAAUACCGCAUACGCCCUACGGGGGAAGGCAGGGAGUCUUCGGACCUUGCGCUAUUUGAUGAGCCUGAGUGAGAUUAGCUAGUUGGUGGGGUAAAGGCCUACCAAGGCGACGAUCUAUAGCUGGUCUGAGAGGAUGAUCAGCCACACUGGGACUGAGACACGGCCCAGACUCCUACGGGAGGCAGCAGUGGGGAAUAUUGCACAAUGGGCGCAAGCCUGAUGCAGCCAUGCCGCGUGAAUGAUGAAGGCCUU
rnacentral:rRNA from 1 species